UAUUGUUCGUUUUGUCACUAUGUGAUUAAAAAAAUACAACAACAACAACAGCCAAACACAAUGUGAAAAUGUUGAUCCCUCGGAAACUUUUUACUUCUCGAAGCUCUGACAAGCUUUUCUGACCAAGCAAAAACCCAAUGAUUCUUGAACCAAAAGGUAAUAAAUCUGAAAACCCACAACUUCAAUUUUCUGUUCUCAGAUUUAUCUCUGCUAAAAAUCUUACCUUUCAUCAUUUACAACAUUAUUUGUUUUUUCUUCAUAAUCUGACUGGAAACUGAGGGUUUUUUGAUUUGAACUGUAAUGCCUGGUUUCAAUCAAUGAUUCUUUCAGCUCCGAGUUAAGUUUUUGUUAAUGGGUUUUUUUAUUUGAUGUUAGAAAUCAAUAUUUAGGCUUGGAAAGUUUGGAUCUUUGGAUGUGGGAGCCUAGAUUUAGGGUUUGCAUUUGGUGUUUGUGUAAGGAUUUAAAUUGGGUUAGUUGAGCACCAUGGAUGGUGUUGGGGAAUCUUCUGAAUCUGGGAAUGGAGUGUCUAGUUCUCAAUCUAAGAAAAGUGGGUCUUUUGGUGAAGAUGAUAGUGAUAGGUGCCCUAAGCAAGUGUCACCUGUUAGGGGCGGUGGGUCGAGGAAUACAAGUCCAUUGGGUCGUGUAGGAUCAAGGAACACUAGCCCUUCGAGGCAGAAAGUUAUUAAGACCAAACCGCGCGGGUUAGAUGAGGAAACAGCUGCUACAUUUGGUAAAGCAGUCCACCCUGAUGUUCAAAUGGAAGAUAGUAUAUGGGCAAUGUUGCCCGAAGACUUGUUGAAUGAGAUUUUAGCUAGGGUUCCUCCAUUUAUGAUCUUUCGUCUACGUUCUGUUUGUAAACGUUGGAAUUCUAUUCUUCAAGAUUGUAGUUUUCUCAAAUUUCACUCGCAAGUGCCAUCUCAUGGGCCUUGUCUUCUUACAUUUUGGAGGAACUCUCAGACCCCACAAUGCUCGGUCUUCAGCUUGCCGUUGAAAACGUGGUAUAGGAUUCCAUUCAUGUUUCUGCCUCCAUGGGCAUUCUGGUUGGUUGGUUCUUCAGGUGGUCUUGUUUGCUUUUCUGGGCUUGAUGGGCUAACUUUCAAAACUCUAGUUUGUAAUCCCCUCACACAAACUUGGAGGACGUUGCCGACUAUGCAUUAUAAUCAGCAAAGGCAACUGAUAAUGGUUGUUGAUAGGACAGACCGAUCGUUUAAAGUUAUAGCCACUAGUGAUAUAUAUGGUGACAAAUCUUUACCCACCGAAGUAUAUGAUUCGAAGCUCAACAUUUGGUCACUUCACCAGGUAAUGCCUGCAGUCAAUCUUUGCUCCUCAAAGAUGGCAUAUUGUGAUUCCAAAUUGUACUUGGAAACCCUUUCACCACUUGGUCUAAUGAUGUAUCGGCUGGAUACUGGCUACUGGGAACACAUUCCAGCUAAGUUCCCACGGUCAUUGUUGGAUGGGUAUUUAGUUGCUGGAACCCAGAAGCGUUUGUUUCUAGUUGGAAGGAUUGGCCUUUAUAGUACACUUCAGAGUAUGAGAAUUUGGGAAUUGGAUCAUGUAAAAAUCAUGUGGGUGGAGAUUAGCAGGAUGCCACCAAAGUAUUUUCGAGCUUUGUUGAGGUUAUCAGCUGAGAGGUUUGAGUGCUUUGGUCAGGACAAUUUAAUUUGCUUCACUUCUUGGAACCAAGGGAAGGGCCUUCUAUAUGAUGUGGAUAAGAAGGUUUGGUCAUGGAUUGCUGGCUGUGCCCUUCAGUCAUACAACAGUCAAGUUUGUUUCUAUGAGCCAAGAUUUGAUGCUUCUAUCUACUGAGGAGGAAAUUUUGCUAUGUGGUGUUAAUUUUUAUUUUAUUUAUUUUGAGGGUGAGCAUCCUUGUUCGGCAUCUUCUCUAAUUUCUUCUGCACAACCAAGAGGAAGGUUCUUCAUACUAAGCUGGUCAGUUCAUCAUUGAAUUUCUUUCAGCUUUUCAUGCCAUAUCAGUAAUGAAGAUGCAUCUGAAGAAACCAGUUUCGUUGGCAAGAUUUUGACAAUUCAAGGGUGAUAGUGCCAGGACUUUGUAAUGUACAAUAAUCGAGUAUGGUUUUAACUCAAGGGCUGGGCUUGUUAAGGAAGUAAAUGGAUGGUGACAUCUAGGGAAGGAUCGCAAGUGGGCAAUUUUCUGUUCCAACUCCUUAAAGGUGGGGGACUAGCCAGAUUCACCCACGUGGGGAAAGCUGGAGGUACCAUACCAACUAGAGGUCGGGUGUUCUGUUCCACUUAUUUCAUUAGUACAGAAAGGGAUACUUCUCAGAAACCAUGUCAUGUCUUCCAGAUACAUGCCAACCUCCAAAUGGCUGUUCAUAUCCUACCAUUAGGGUUCUGCAGUUUGUAAACCAUUGUUGGUAAAACAUUAGAAUGAAUUGAAAAGUACCUAAUGGAGCCAUAGAUAAACCUGGGUGCUAGCAUAUGUUUUGUGAUAUUUGAGCUAGGUUUGAGUGUCAUGGGUUCAAAACACACUAGGUGCAUGUGUAAUUUACUGAAAAAGAAAGAGAAAAAAAGAAAGGUUUCAUGCCUGACCACUAUACUUCUG